rnacentral:rRNA from 1 species
GCCUGGGGAGUACGUUCGCAAGAUUAAAACUCAAAGGGAAUUGACGGGGACCCGCACAAGCGGUGGAUGAUGUGGAUUAAUUCGAUGCAACGCGAAAAACCUUACCUACCCUUGACAUGCCAGGAACCCUGCUGAGAGGUGGGGGUGCUCGAAAGAGAGCCUGGGCACAGGUGCUGCAUGGCUGUCGUCAGCUCGUGUCGUGAGAUGUUGGGUUAAGUCCCGCAACGAGCGCAACCCUUGUCAUUAGUUGCCAUCAUUUAGUUGGGCACUCUAAUGAGACUGCCGGUGACAAACCGGAGGAAGGUGGGGAUGACGUCAAGUCCUCAUGGCCCUUAUGGGUAGGGCUUCACACGUCAUACAAUGGUCGGUACAGAGGGUUGCCAAGCCGCGAGGUGGAGCCAAUCCCAGAAAGCCGAUCGUAGUCCGGAUCGUAGUCUGCAACUCGACUGCGUGAAGUCGGAAUCGCUAGUAAUCGUGGAUCAGCAUGCCACGGUGAUACGUUCCCGGGUCUUGUACACACCGCCCGUCACACCAUGGGAGUGGGUUUCACCAGAAGUAG